rnacentral:rRNA from 1 species
GACGAACCGUGCGAACGUUGUUCGGAAUCACUGGGCUUAAAGGGCGCGUAGGCGGGCCGCCAAGUCAGGGGUGAAAUCCCCCGGCUCAACCGGGGAACGGCUUUUGAUACUGGCGGCCUCGAGGGGGGUAGGGGCAUGCGGAACUUCCGGUGGAGCGGUGAAAUGCGUAGAUAUCGGAAGGAACGCCGGUGGCGAAGGCAACUUCCUAGACAGCAACUGACACUCAGGCACGAAAGCGUGGGGAGCAAAAGGG